GCCCAGCUAGCUCAGUUGGUAGAGCGUGAGACUCUUAAUCUCAGGGUCUUGGGUUCAAGCCCCACCUUGAGCG
rnacentral:tRNA from 1 species